rfam:Triticum aestivum genome assembly, contig: Triticum_aestivum_CS42_TGACv1_scaffold_221980_3B
AACGGGGUAGAGGAAUUGGUCAACUCAUUAGGCUCAUGACCUGAAGACUGCAGGUUUGAAUCCUGUCCCCGCCU